rnacentral:rRNA from 1 species
UACGUAGGGUGCGAGCGUUGCCCGGAUUUAUUGGGCGUAAAGGGCGCGUAGGCGGUCGUGACAAGUCACUUGUGAAAUCUCCGGGCUUAACUCGGAACGGUCAAGUGAUACUGUCGGACUAGAGUACAGAAGGGGCAACUGGAAUUCUCGGUGUAGCGGUGAAAUGCGUAGAUAUCGAGAGGAACACCUGUGGCGAAGGCGGGUUGCUGGGCUGAUACUGACGCUGAGGCGCGAAAGCUAGGGGGAGCGAACGGGG